rnacentral:lncRNA from 1 species
UGUACAUCACAAGGGACAGCACUUCUAUUCCUAUUGUGAAUUAAACAUCUUAAGCAUCAUUCUGAGCUUUCGAGGCGAUGGUAAAGAACUGCUAUAUAAUGCAUUAUAGUGAUUUACAUUUUGAUUACAUUUGAAGUACAACUGAAUGUGGGCCUUGUCAUCAUAACUCAACUUGUUUCUGAGAUAACUACUGAUUCUGCUGCGGAUUCAGAUGAGAGGUGUUAUGGUGUGUUGGGAGACAGAGAGAGGUGUUGUGGUGUGUUGGGAGACAGAGGGAGGUGUUGUAGAGAGGUAUUGUGGUGUGUUGGGAGACAGAGAGAUUUGUUGUGGUGUGUUGGGAGACAGAGAGUGGUGUUGUGAUGUGUUUGGUGACAAAUAAGUAUUGUGAUGUGUUGAGAUACAGAGAGAAGUGUUGGGGUGUGUUGGGAGACAGAGAGAG